UACUGCUCACUUCAGCAGUACAUAUAAUAAAAUUGGAAUGAUACCCAGAGAAGAUUAGCACGGCCUCUGCACAAGGAUGACACACAAAUUUGUGAAGUGUUCCAUAUUUUU
ensembl:snRNA U6 U6 spliceosomal RNA